GAUUAUGGCUCAGAACGAACGCUGGCGGCAGGCCUAACACAGUGCAAGUCGAACGCCCCGCAAGGGGAGUGGCAGACGGGUGAGUAACACGUGGGAACCUACCUAUUGGUACGGAAUAACUCGGGGAAACCCGUGCUAAUACCGUAUACGCCCGAGAGGGGAAAGAUUUAUCGCCGAUAGGAUGGGCCCGCGUCGGAUCAGCUAGUUGGUGGGGUAAUGGCUCACCAAGGCGACGAUCCGUAGCUGGUCUGAGAGGAUGAUCAGCCACACUGGGACUGAGACACGGCCCAGACUCCUACGGGAGGCAGCAGUGGGGGAUAUUGCGCAAUGGGGGCAAACCCCCUGACGCAGCAACGCCGCGUGAAGGAUGAAGGUUUUCGGAUUGUAAACUUCUUUUAUCAGGAACGAAGCUUGACGGUACCUGAUGAAUAAGCUCCGGCUAACUACGUGCCAGCCGCCGC
rnacentral:rRNA from 1 species